rnacentral:rRNA from 1 species
UGGGGAAUAUUGGACAAUGGGCGCAAGCCUGAUCCAGCAAUGCCGCGUGAGUGAUGAAGGCCUUCGGGUUGUAAAGCUCUUUUGCCGAUGACGAUGAUGACGGUAGUCGGCGAAUAAGCCCCGGCUAACUUCGUGCCAGCAGCCGCGGUAAUACGAAGGGGGCUAGCGUUGUUCGGAAUGACUGGGCGUAAAGGGCGCGUAGGCGGCGAAGCCAGUCAGGCGUGAAAUCCCCGGGCUCAACCUGGGAACUGCGCUUGAUACUGCUUUGCUCGAGACCGGGAGAGGAUGGCGGAAUACCCAGUGUAGAGGUGAAAUUCGUAGAUAUUGGGUAGAACACCGGUGGCGAAGGCGGCCAUCUGGACCGGAUCUGACGCUGAGGCGCGAAAGCGUGGGGAGCAAACAG